UACGUAGGGACCAAGCGUUGUUCGGAUUUACUGGGCGUAAAGGGCGCGUAGGCGGCAUGACAAGUCACUUGUGAAAUCUCCGGGCUUAACUCGGAACGGCCAAGUGAUACUGUCGCGCUAGAGUGCAGAAGGGGCAAUCGGAAUUCUUGGUGUAGCGGUGAAAUGCGUAGAUAUCAAGAGGAACACCUGAGGUGAAGACGGGUUGCUGGGCCGAUACUGACGCUGAGGAGCGAAAGCGUGGGGAGCGAACAGG
rnacentral:rRNA from 1 species